rnacentral:rRNA from 1 species
UGGGGAAUUUUGCACAAUGGGGGAAACCCUGAUGCAGCGACGCCGCGUGAUUUAGAAGGCCUUCGGGUUGUAAAAAUCUUUUCUAUGGGAAGAAAAUGACAGUACCAUAGGAAUAAGGACCGGCUAAUUACGUGCCAGCAGCCGCGGUAAUACGUAAGGUCCGAGCGUUGUCCGGAAUCAUUGGGCGUAAAGGGUACGGAGGCGGGUGAGCAAGUUAGAGGUGGAAUCCUAUAGCGCAACUAUAGUAAGCUUUUAAAACUGAUCAUCUUGAGGGAUGGAAGGGAAAGUGGAAUUCCUCGUGUAGCGGUGAAAUGCGCAGAUAUUAGGAGGGAUACCGGUGGCGAAGGCGACUUUCUGGCCAUAACCUGACGCUGAGGUACGAAAGAGUGGGUAGCAAACAGG